AAAAGAGGGUGAAAAGAACCUGAAACCGUUAUGGGGGAAGCGUAUUGGGUCAAAUUGAUUUGGGGGAGUGCUGCUGUUCAACGGGGUGAUUCCCGUGUACUCAGUGCAUUUUCUUACCCGUCGUGUGCUUUGGAUGGUCGAUUUUGGGCUGUCUGGGGCUGAGGGAUCCCCUUUUAUAGGGUGAAGACGAUGGGGCGCUGACACGAUACGACCCGUCUUGAAACACGGACCAAGGAGUUCAGCAUGUGUGCGAGUCAAAGGGUGAUUAAACCUGGGGGCGCAGUGAAAGCAACUUUUGUGUAAGGGAAUCCAACAUUAAGCAGUUUCAGGCGGCAUACGAUCGUUGAUUGUAGGACUGACCUAGAGCACAUGUGCUGAGACCCGAAAGAUGGUGAACUAUGCCGGAGUAGGGCGAAGCCAGAGGAAACUCUGGUGGAGGCUCGUAGCGGUGCUGACGUGCAAAUCGCUCGUCUGACUCGGGUAUAGGGGCGAAAGACUAAUCGAACCAUCUAGUAGCUGGUUUCCUCCGAAGUUUCUCUC
rnacentral:rRNA from 1 species